rnacentral:rRNA from 1 species
UACGAAGGGGGCUAGCGUUGCUCGGAAUGACUGGGCGUAAAGGGCGCGUAGGCGGAUGGCACAGUCAGAUGUGAAAUUCCCGGGCUUAACCUGGGGGCUGCAUUUGAUACGUGUGAUCUAGAGUGAGGAAGAGGGUCGUGGAAUUCCCAGUGUAGAGGUGAAAUUCGUAGAUAUUGGGAAGAACACCGGUGGCGAAGGCGGCGACCUGGUCCUUGACUGACGCUGGAGGCGCGAAAGCGUGGGGGAGCAAACAGG